rfam:Candidatus Curtissbacteria bacterium RIFCSPHIGHO2_01_FTLL_41_11 rifcsphigho2_01_scaffold_16224, whole genome shotgun sequence.
CGGGGAGUAGCUCAGUUGGCUAGAGCGCUGCUUUUGGGAAGCAGAGGUCGAAGGUUCAAGUCCUUUCUCCCCGA